CCUUCUUCCCACCACCAGGCCCUGUACGACUCGACACACAAGCUUGUAUGUAUGUACAUGCAGACGAACGAGGGGUUUCCUUACCCACGAUUAUAACCACAGAAAAUUACCACCUGAUUGGUGGACCUGAAUAGCUUCUCUUGCAGUGAGAGAAGACCGCCCAGCUGGUCCCCAAUGUCCAGCUACCCUGAUAUGUACAGUGGUCCCCAGCAAAUGCUUCAAAGAUGCGUGAUUGUACAGAAAGAUGAGAAGGGAUACGGGCUAACGGUUACCGGCGACAACCCAGUAUUUAUCCAAAGUGUCAAAGAUCAUGGGGCAGCAUACAAGGCAGGAGUACAGACAGGGUAUA